AUUCUCUCUACACUUUCUCUCAAUUUAUAGUUAUUUUGUAGCAAUUAGCCACUUUAAAAUUACAAUUUGUCUCAAUUAUACACUAUGAAGUUUCCUUCAAGUUUCAAUUUUAUAUUUUGCAAUUAUAUAAACAAAGUGUUGGUGGUUCCGGUCCGGGUAUAAUCGGUUGACAGGCUUAGAGGAAGUAUAAUAUAUCAAUCAAUUUCUCCUUAUUCGCAAAAUGAAGGGGAGCCUUGGCGUAACUGGUAAAUUUACUAUCAUGUGACCAGGAGGUCACGGGUUCGAGCCGUGAAAACAGUCUCUUACAGAAAUGCAAGGAUAAACACGUGUGCUCCAAACUGCAGACACGUACCUCUUCAAACUCUUUCUCGUUCUCCAUCUACCUCUGUCCUAUUCUCUCCUUAACACAGAGGAGUGCUCUGUAGACUAUUGGUGAAAAGAGUUCCGAGGUUUGUUCUUCUCAGAUUUUUGUUUCAGAUGUCAUUGCUUUGAUAUUGUCUUUUCCCUUUAGUCGAAAAGCCAGGCAAAAUGGGAGAGUUUUUUCCAUCAAAAGUUAUAAAAAAAAAAAGAAACUGCGAGCCACUGAAGAAAAAGACGAAGAAGAAUUGAAGCCAUGUUUGCCGCUUCUUCUGAAAUGGAAAAGAUAAGAAUUUUUUUUGAAUCUACGGGGAUUUCCCGUUAGUUUGAUGAUAUUGUGCUUACUUCUGUUUACUUUCUCUUUAUUGCAGUAUGUUCUUAUAAUUUCUGGUCAAUUUAGAUAUUGUUUCGUUAAUUUGUAUCGAUUUUUUGUUAUUUGUUGAUGGGUUAUUUUUUUUUCAAUGAGAUGCUAAAAUUGUUGUUAAUGAGUAUUUGUGGGGAUCUCAAAUUACUAAUUUCUUAGAUGUUUUCUUACAUUGUGCAUGCAUGUUUGAAAUUUUCCUACAUAGGUAUAAACAUGCUCUGCCACAUUGAAUUUCCAUAUAGGAGAAAAAAAACGAGAAGAAAUUAAACUUAUAGAAGAGCUUUGAUGCAGCUAAGAUGUUUGAAAAUAUUAUUUAAUUAGCUUAAACCAUGUAAUUCUGGUGAGUUGAAUUUGACUUUUUUAGGUAUGAUUUUCUACUGGAUAUUCGCACUACUCUUCAUUUUCUUUAAUGUUAGUUAUGGCUCACGAGCUAUUAUCUAAUCCUCUGCUCUGUGUCUGGUCAUGCUAUUUUGUUGUUAAAUCUUUAGCUUAAUGACAAAUAUAAUAGGAAAAAACGGUGAAAACACUAUGAGCAAGCCCUACAUAUAAUUAUAUGCAGUGUUGCUUUGAUCCACUUCUCUUAACCUUCUUGAUAUCCGAUGUCAGGCAGUAAAAAUUUGUACAUAUUUGGCUUUUCUUGCCUGAAUAUGAUGAUCCACUGGUGUGUCUGUUAUAUUCACCAGAUUUUGUUAUUUGGUAUAGUCGAGGUGCAUGUACAAACCCCAAGUAGCAUGAGAUGAAGAAUUUGCCAGAAAGUGAUGAUGUUUUUUCUGAUGUAGAGUGAUCUUCGCGGCCAAGACACUUUCGGAGAACAACAAUUGCCCGGUGAAGUUCCAUGUGGUAAGAAAUUGUUGAUUGUGCUACACAAACCAAGAUAUUUUUGCAUUACGUUCUAACAUAUAGUUGUUCUUUUAAACAUCAGGCAGUUGCAUAUUGUGUAUCCUUAUUUUAGGGACGGUAAAUUCUUACAAUUAUCAGCCCUACUGUCUUCUUGAUAGGGCUUGCAAUGUCAGUUGCUUUUGUGGCGUCGUUGCAACUUUAUACAAAUUUUGCGCGAGUCUUCUUAGUUAUAACCCAAUCAAGAAGGUAUCUCAAGUCAGAGACCGAGAAAUCUCAAACUCCUCAUUCUUGAAAGUCAUAUGUACAAUUUUCACUCCAGUUCAUCACUUUGCAAGAUGAUAUGCAUCAACCACUUUAUUUACCUAGAAACAGGGGCGCCUUUUAUUCGGCCUGCAAAGUGUCGUUUUUAUGAAUAAGUUGAGACUUGAAAGUUGAAUGUAAAUUACUCUGGACAUCAAGCUACAAAAAUGGACAACAGUGUCAGGCAUAUCCCGUGCUUUACUUUAGAUUGCAUGGACUGCAUUAGAACUUCAUACUACAAAAGUAUUGCAUGAAAACUUAAAUUGGUGAACAAAGUUGAAUCCUGCGGGGUUAUGUCCGAAUGUUGGGCAUAUAUUCUUUGCCUAUUCGAGGUAUUUAUAGAUGCUAUGUAAAACUGCGUAUGGUUAUUUUCUAAUUUGCGUUUAUUUUGUUAGGAAACAAAGUAGGACUUGGAACUGGAGUGGUGUGAAUUGGGGAGAAAAUCAUAAACAAGAUUUAUAUUCCAAGCAGCAGAGUUCAACAUAAGAUAACUUGGCCAAGAUUAAUCUAUUUGAGAAAGGAGAGAAACAGAAGAUUCUUUGUAGGUUCACGAAUUUUUCUAUGUAUUAGUUGAAGAACAUAAAAGGCUUAUUUCUCACUUGGAAGAUGUGUUUACACACUCCAGAGCCUUUCUUGGAUGGUUGUGGUAUGAUGUUCUUACAUUACUCUCAUAAUGGUAUUUUAUUCUUGCUCCGUUGAAAAGUAAUCUAAACUGUGCUCUUUUAAGAAAUCAAUCUAUUUUCUUGAUAAAAAAGAAGGCAUCAAUCUAUUAAUAAAUUGCUGCCCAUAAACCAAAACUCAGAGAGAGAACUGAUUAAUUUAUCAUGAUAUUGGAGAUGAAUGAGUACAAUAUAUAGAUUUAUAGUGACAAUUCUAAUGUGGUGUCUUGAUAGUUAGAUGUACAAAAAUCCUACAGCGUAUAAAAGUACAGAUAAACAAUAAGGGGAUUAAUGGAUAAAUUACUUCCCAAAAUUUUCCUGAAGUAGUAAAGAAAAUAAAGAGCUACCUGAUCAUCUGUAAAUAUACCACCAGUAUAUGUAGUACCAAUAUAACUUGGUAAGAAUCUCUAUAGUUGACCACUCCUUAAGUUAAUUUCUCCCUUUUCAACUAUAUGAGAUACUAAUUAAUGCAAAAAACGAGCCUAUUGGUAAGUCAUCUUUUCAAUACCAUUCAACUUGAUCCUUCUGUAAUUGAAGCACGUUAUGGAUGGAAAAUCAACAUUCGUGAGAAGAAAUUGCUAAAUCUAUCAUUCUCUUCAUUUUAUGGAACAACUUAGUUUUUCUGAGAUGCUAAGACUUUCUGCCUGCAGAAGGCAUCCCAUUUCCUUUUAACCUUAUUGUACUUCAAUACUAUCUUGCAGAAGAUGAUUGCUUAAGUUAAUUUAAAUUUGCAGGCUUUCCUAACUUUUGCAUGCUUACUACACAACACCAAUUUUGAUGUUUACCUUUCUUUUUUUUAGUAGAUGCCCAGAUUAAAUAUGUGUUGGCAGCUGUCAAAAUUCAGAUUUCAUGCAAUUGUAACACUGCUCAUACAUAAGUUGGACCACCUGCAUGGUCAUGAAAACCCGUAAUAUUAUUGUCUUUAUAGCACGUUAAAAAAUGUAAUUGUAUGACUUUGUUCCACAAAUUGAUGUAUUACGUCAAUACUUCAGUUUGAUAUUUCCUUU